CUGCAUUUAUUAGGUUGGUGCAAAAGUAAUCGCAGUUUUUGCCCUUUUUUGGGGGGGCAAAAACUGCAAUUACUUUUGCACCAACCUAA
rnacentral:miRNA from 1 species